AACGAACGCUGGCGGCAUGCCUAACACAUGCCAGUCGAACGAGACCUUCGGGUCUAGUGGCGCACGGGUGCGUAACGCGUGGGAACCUGCCCUUAGGUUCGGAAUAACUCCCUGAAAGGGGUGCUAAUACCGGAUAAUGUCUUCGGACCAAAGAUUUAUCGCCUUUGGAUGGGCCCGCGUUGGAUUAGCUAGUUGGUAGGGUGAAAGCCUACCAAGGCGACGAUCCAUAGCUGGUCUGAGAGGAUGAUCAGCCACACUGGGACUGAGACACGGCCCAGACUCCUACGGGAGGCAGCAGUGGGGAAUAUUGGACAAUGGGCGAAAGCCUGAUCCAGCAAUGCCGCGUGAGUGAUGAAGGCCUUAGGGUUGUAAAGCUCUUUUACCCGGGAUGAUAAUGACAGUACCGGGAGAAUAAGCUCCGGCUAACUCCGUG
rnacentral:rRNA from 1 species